GCAUAACGCGAAGAACCUUACCCACCUUUGACAUGUAUGGAAUCCCGAAGAGAUUUGGGGGUGCUCGCAAGAGAGCCAUAACACAGGUGCUGCAUGGCUGUCGUCAGCUCGUGUCGUGAGAUGUUGGGUUAAGUCCCGCAACGAGCGCAACCCUUGUCAUUAGUUGCUACGAAAGGGCACUCUAAUGAGACUGCCGGUGACAAACCGGAGGAAGGUGGGGAUGACGUCAAGUCCUCAUGGCCCUUAUGGGUAGGGCUUCACACGUCAUACAAUGGUCGGGACAGAGGGUCGCCAACCCGCGAGGGGGAGCCAAUCCCAGAAACCCGAUCGUAGUCCGGAUCGCAGUCUGCAACUCGACUGCGUGAAGUCGGAAUCGCUAGUAAUCGCGGAUCAGCAUGG
rnacentral:rRNA from 1 species